UGGAUGGUUUAAAACAGAUUUUAAGUGUCAGGACCAGUGCUGUGCUGCCUCAUAUCCUUCCCAAGCUUGUCCACCUUCCCCUUUCGUAAUGCCUUCAAUGCUCAUGCUUUGGGAGCUUUAGCAGAGGU